rnacentral:rRNA from 1 species
UACGUAGGGGGCAAGCGUUGUCCGGAAUCAUUGGGCGUAAAGCGCGUGUAGGCGGCCCGGUAAGUCCGCUGUGAAAGUCAGGGGCUCAACCCUUGAAUGCCGGUGGAUACUGCAGGGCUAGAGUCCGGAAGAGGCGACUGGAAUUCCUGGUGUAGCGGUGAAAUGCGCAGAUAUCAGGAGGAACACCGAUGGCGAAGGCAGGUCUCUGGGCAUUAACUGACGCUGAGGAGCGAAAGCAUGGGGAGCGAACAGG